UACAGAGGGCCCAAGCGUUGUUCGGAUUCACUGGGCGUAAAGGGUGCGCAGGUGGGUUGGCAAGUUUGAUGUGAAAGCCCCGGGCUUAACCCGGGAAUGGCAUUGAAUACUGCUGAUCUGGAGGAUCGGAGGGGGGACUGGAAUUCUUGGUGUAGCAGUGAAAUGCGUAGAUAUCAAGAGGAACACCAGUGGCGAAGGCGAGUCCCUGGACGAUACCUGACACUGAGGCACGAAAGCUAGGGGAGCAAACAGG
rnacentral:rRNA from 1 species